ACGGGAGGCAGCAGUGGGGAAUAUUGGACAAUGGGGGAAACCCUGAUCCAGCGACGCCGCGUGAGUGAAGAAGUAUUUCGGUAUGUAAAGCUCUAUCAGCAAGAAAGAAAAUGACGGUACUUGACUAAGAAGCCCCGGCUAACUACGUGCCAGCAGCCGCGGUAGUACGUAGGGGGCAAGCGUUAUCCGGAUUUACUGGGUGUAAAGGGAGCGUAGACGGCGAUGCAAGUCUGAAGUGAAAGCCCGGGGCUCAACCCCGGAACUGCUUUGGAAACUGUAUAGCUAGAGUGCAGGAGAGGUAUGUGGAAUUCCUAGUGUAGCGGUGAAAUGCGUAGAUAUUAGGAGGAACACCAGUGGCGAAGGCGACAUACUGGACUGUAACUGACGUUGAGGCUCGAAGGCGUGGGGAGCAAACAGGAUUAGAUACCCUGGUA
rnacentral:rRNA from 1 species